rnacentral:rRNA from 1 species
GGAGCAGGCGGCACUAAGGGUCUGUGGUGAAAGAUCGAAGCUUAACUUCGGUAAGCCAUGGAAACCGUAGAGCUAGAGUGUGUGAGAGGAUCGUGGAAUUCCAUGUGUAGCGGUGAAAUGCGUAGAUAUAUGGAGGAACACCAGUGGCGAAGGCGACGAUCUGGCGCAUAACUGACGCUCAGUCCCGAAAGCUGGGGAGCAAAUA